GCCUGGGUGGCUCAGUCGGUUGAGCGUCCGACUUCGGCUCAGGUCACGAUCUCGCGGUUUGUGGGUUCGAGCCCCGUGUCGGGCU
rnacentral:tRNA from 1 species